rnacentral:lncRNA from 1 species
GGCCGGCUGUGGGUGAGACUGCCCUUCAGUGGUGUGGAGCUGGCAGGGGCGGAGAGAACCUUCUGGAAGUUUUGGCGGGAAAGCGAGGGGCAGAGAGAGCCUUCUGUUAAGCGCCGGGAAAGUGCACAGAGAACCUUCUGGAAGGUUUGCUGAGGGAAGGCAGAGAACAUUCUGGAAGUUUGCAGCGUGUGGGAGGGGCAGCUCCUCUGAGCUAUAGACUGCUGUCCAUCUGUGAAUUGAGGAGAGUCCUAAAGGAUGAGCUGGGUUGCAGAAAGAAUUAACAAUAUCUGACAAGGUAUGCGGAUUUUGAACACUAUGGUGC